rnacentral:rRNA from 1 species
CCUACGGGGGACUGCAGUGAAGAAUAUUGGUCAAUGGACGAGAGUCUGAACCAGCCAAGUAGCGUGAAGGAUGACUGCCCUAUGGGUUGUAAACUUCUUUUAUAUGGGAAUAAAAUGUUCCACGUGUGGGAUUUUGUAUGUACCAUAUGAAUAAGGAUCGGCUAACUCCGUGCCAGCAGCCGCGGUAAUACGGAGGAUCCGAGCGUUAUCCGGAUUUAUUGGGUUUAAAGGGAGCGUAGGUGGAUUGUUAAGUCAGUUGUGAAAGUUUGCGGCUCAACCGUAAAAUUGCAGUUGAAACUGGCAGUCUUGAGUACAGUAGAGGUGGGCGGAAUUCGUGGUGUAGCGGUGAAAUGCUUAGAUAUCACGAAGAACUCCGAUUGCGAAGGCAGUUCACUGGACUGCAACUGACACUGAGGCUCGAAAGUGUGGGUAUCAAACAGGAUUAGAUACCCUAGUAGUC